rnacentral:tRNA from 1 species
CCGUAGCUCAAUUGGAUAGAGCAUCUGACUACGAAUCAGAAGGUUGGGAGUUCGAGUCUCUCCGGG